CUCAACAAGCUGCUUAGCAGCAUAAACCUGAAACUUUGUGCGUGAGAAGGGCGAAAUUUCGUAAGGAACGCUUCGUUUAACAGUCAGGUCAGUCUUGGAGCUUCUCCUACACACAGCACUCUGCUACUAAACUCUGUUCAAGGUGCAGGGAACAACACUAAUUUGGGGAGAAAACUUAAGCAGUGUGUAUUUGAAAAAAAAACCUCUAUUCAGAGUACAUUCUGGGAGGACUAUAUCUAAUGCAUGUUUUUCCAAAUAAUUCUCCAAAAGCCAGAGAAGAUGCAAUCUUUAAGGGCAUAAUGCUAAAUUAACCUCUUACCUUGUUUAUUUUCUGCAUGAAGUUGAUCAUGUUAGCUAACAUAAGGGGACACACAGUUGUGUGUCUUCUUACUGCAGCUGUUCUUAAAUUCAGAAGCCCAGGAAAGGGGAGGCUGUGCCAUGUGGCUAAUGUGACACCGAAAAUGAUUUUCGGUGUGAUACAAAAAUAGAUGGUGAGAGAGAAGGGGAGGAGCAGAGGGAGUUGACUGAAAGUGCUUUAGUUUAUUGCAAGUAACUUCUGGCAGGAGCUGGGUCUCUUUAAACAGAAACAGAGAUGUCCCAAAAUGCAGCGAACUUGUUCUGCGGUCUGCAUGCCAGUGCUGAGCGUGCUGCCUGUUUUGAAGGUCAAUGCAGACUGAAAGCUGUAUUUCUGGAAUAAACUCAGCUCGAAAUGACUGUGUGCCCGUUCAUGCAGAAAUCCUGCGGUGCCCUUUUCCUGCCUGGCCCUGGAGCCCUCUACAACAACAAUAGCAUGGCACUUCCAUGAGCCCACUCGAUUUUAAACCCAUGACAAAACCCUCAGUAGAUGACAAUGGCUGUUCUUCAGGUCAGGGAAAGUUAGGACUCUUAGUCUGGGCAUUUGUGGUUUGCAGUUUCAAAGAGCUCUAAGAUCUCCCAUGGGUUUGUGAUGACCCUGGGGUGGAAAGCAGUUUGCUGUAGGGGACCAGCAGGAGCUUGCAAAAUCCCUGUUGCAGACGGGCACCGUGUAAGCACGGCAGAAACUGUCUAUGGAGGGCUGAGCUUCUGUCCCCUUCAGCAUGAAGAAAUGGUCUGCGGUGUAUUAGCCCUUGUCAGUGCAUGGGAACCUCAGAAGGAGACCUGCUACACCAGGGGGUUUGAACCGGGUUAAGCCCUUGACAGGUUCAGCCUGUAGGCCACCUUUACAACUAACCUGCUUCAGUCUAAAAUACCGAAUAUCUGAGUCCUCUGGUACUUAAUGAGUUAAAGGAAGCUCAGGGCUGUAGGUGGUGAAAAUAAUACUAGUGUUUGUAGCAUUUGUUUUAAUUCACUAAGGAGAAUAACGGCACUGGUGUGCGUGAGAGUAGGUUGUAUUUUGUUAAAAGCUGGUUUCAGCUACAUCCAGCAAGAUAAAAAUAGGGAAACUGAACUGCAUGCCCUAACUUGUGGUUUAUAUAUUACCAAAUCGGUGUUAUUUACAGUGUAUGCACCAUUACUUAAACAUUAAUCUUAACGGGAGUAUGGAGGGGGAACUUAGCUUUUUCUUUCUCACCUAAGCAUUCCCCGCCUCUUCAUAGGUGCUGAAGAGCGGCAUUACUGUUUUAAAACGCUUCUCAAAAAUGAGCCAGAUCUUUAACUGGGGUAAAUCAGGGAAGUUGUAAAUCAUUUUCAUGAGCUGAGAAUCUGUUUCCCUGAGUUGAUUUUUUUUCCUCAGUUAUCUUGAUGAGUGAUAUGCUAUUUGAUUUUCUCUCAGCUUACCAAGGUACGUGUAUAUUAAAGGUCAGGCCAUGUUUCCUAAGAAUACGUGGGUGAGGGGGGCAUUUACACUUGAAUUUAGGAAAACAGGUGGAGCAAAUGGUUAAAGCUGGGCCUUGUGUGGCUAGAACAGCUGCAAAGCAAUCUGCUAUUAGGGCAGUGGAGUUUUCCAGGUAAUUUAGAGGCUGCUGGCUCAUCCCAGCUACCAACCAGAAAGUGCAUUUUAAAACUCAGUUUCAUGGCAGAAGAAAAGCCGCUUCCCCUUCAAUUAUAAUUAUCCAGGCUCUGUGAAUGGGGAAGGUCCCAGCUGAAGAAUUAAGGGGAAGUGAUAAAACUCUUCUCGUAAGAACUGAGAUGCUCUAAGCAUUUGUAACAGGAAGCAACCUAACCUUGUUCGCUAGCACUGUCAUGGCAGAUAACUUGAGUCUGACCAGAUGUAACUGUAACUGGUUGUCUAUAGACACUCUUUCCUUCUUUAUAAUGAUUAACAGAUCUAACUUGCAUAAAUAAGGAUGAUCAGGCUGUGUGGUAAAGCAGAAGCAGCUGGAUUUGGGCGAAGGGCUGUGGCGUGUGUCUGUGGGAUCCUAAAGGAGGGAGAAGAGUGGCAUUUUGCAUUGUUAAGGUCAGAGAAGACAGACAAACCUGUAUCACCUUAAUGCUCUUUUUAAGUAUUUACUCCCUUCCUAAAAAAUACCUCGCACUUUUCAAACUCAUUCUGCCAGAGAAUGGCUUCACAGAGAUGUAGCCUGCAGGGAGUUGAGCCCUCAUGCUUGGAAAUCCACACAAGCUUCCUCUCUCUUCGCAGAUGCUGGAGAUCCACCUGCAGCAUCCCCGUGUUCACUUGUUGCCCAAGCAGAGGCUUCAGAGUGAAUGUUCAUCUCUGGGAGCCGUGGCCAAACACAGAUGCUAUUCACAGCAAAGCAAAAACUUCUGCGUCAACCAGGGCAGCAGAUAUUGGGCAUGUCAGUAGGUGGCUUGUGAGGAGUCAGUGUGACUGCAGCGGUGUCAGUGUCCCUUCCUGAUGGCUGGGGUUUCUUGCUUCCCCAGUGGCUUCAGCCCUGCUUGAGAAUGACUUCAGUACUGCCCGAAGUUGUCCCACAGACCCGUGUUGUUCAUUGCAGUGACGGCAUCGGAGCACUUCUAACGCUGAGCUCCAUGUGGACUCAUGCAAGGAAGGGACCUGUUCAUCCUCAAAGCAGCACAAAAGCACUUGAGUACCAGCGAGCCCAGCAGAUAGAUUAUUUGGCUCAUUAAUACUUUGUGCUUCCUGGCAAAGCCAGCUCUGCAUCACAAAAUAAUUUUUUUCUUUUCUUUCUGUUCUUGUCAGCACCAUAGCUGGUGCACAUUCUGUAGGGAUUUUGUGCAAAGAUGCCCAAAAGAGAGCAAGAGAGAGGAACUGUUGCAGAAAUGUUGCUCCCUUCAUACUGCAGAGGACUUCUUGCCCAUACUGCUUUGUGCUCUGGCAGUAACACAGAGCAUGAAAACCCACCUUUUUGUUAGGUCCCAGGAUGCUGAGGAUAAAGUUUGGCUAUUGAAGGCACCUUCACAUGGUUCACUCUCACACUUUUGGAGAAGUGAAUCAGAUUUCUGAUCUUCAGAAACCAAAGCAGCAAAAUCUCAGCUCAGCUGGGAGCUGUUUAUGGGGAGGCAGGGGAGGGACCUAGAGACCUGAAGUUCAGCAUCUGUGUUCUCUGUGUGAGAAACCGCAGACAGCAGAUCACACCUGGAAGGCUCUGAAGGGGGAGAGGUCUCUGCCAACCUCAGGAGCAGCCGUGCAACAGAAGUGAUGCGUGAAGCCUGAGCACUCCCCUGUAGGCUCUUACAUUGCAGCCCUUGCAGUGAGAUGAGCUGCCUUUCUCCCUGCGCCCUGUGCGAGGACUGUCUCUUUGCUUGUUUUUUUGUGUUUCCUUGAACUGGUUGCAAAUGAUACGGACAGAUAACAGCUGAACAGUCCCAAUGUGGCACUGAAGGCGGGAUAGGGGGAGAGGGUGACAACAGGACUGGUUUGCUGUGAAUAAGCCUUCUGACCUCCCUGCAGCUGGCUUCGAGCUAAAACUAAAACUCCAGCUGGCUGAGACCUGAGUGACCCUGUCAAAGUCCAGCACAACCAGAAAAAGCACAGUGCUCGGUGCCGUUCUUUUGCAAAGUGGGGAGGAGGCGGCUCCUCCCUCACCUGGGUGCAUCGCUUCUGUUCCUUUCUUUAUCCAUUCAUUGUAUCUUUAGCAUCAGCUUGGAACGACGCCCUCUUGGCAGCCCGCGGCUGCUCUGCCAGAACCCCGCCGACCUUCUGGAGGGCAGCUACUGCAAAGUGCAGCUGAAAGGCACUUUUCCGCCUUAAAUUCUUCCAUUUUAUGGCUCGGCUCGGCUGCCUGCCUCUGCCCAGCCCCGGUUUGCGGCCGCGGAGCUCCCCCGCGCGGCCGGCCCCGCACCGGGGGGGUUCGGGGGAGCCCGAGGGGGUCCGGGGCACCUCCGGCACCAGGGGCUCAGCCCCGAGGACCCUGCAGCUCGAAAUUGGCUGUGCUAGAGGAGAGAGGGCGAUAACAUCCUGCAGGCUUGCUUGGGAGGGCUUUCAGCAGCUGUUGCUGAUGGCUCUGCUGCUGGGGGGGGCAUAGGAAAGUUUGUCUGCUCACAGCAAUAAAGGCUGCUGCACAUCAGGGUUCGCAGGCCCCCUCGGUGUAGGGAAGAUGAAGCUGCCUACAUGUGGCACUGCCUGUGCAGGCAGGCGAAGGGCUGUGCAAGCGGAAACGGGGGGAAUGGGGUUCACUUGGCUGCUGGGCACUCAGGAAGAGGAGAGUCUGGUGGCACACUCAGAAGCUCUGAUGUAGUUAUAAAUAUGUGGUCAUACAAGGAACACUUGGGGCCAGCUUGUUUGAAGAGUAAUGGAGACAAAAAGAGACUGCUGCCUCCACUGGCAACAAAGCUGAAAAGAUCGUUCCCACAGGCUUGAGAUGGUUUAGGCCGUUCGUUGAAAAUAUGUAAAAUUAUCGUUUUGAUAACGCUCUGAACUGACCAUUGUGUCUUGUGAUAAGAUUUUCAGUUGAAUAUUGCGGAGCACUUCUCACUCCCUACUAAACAGAAACACAGCACUUACCUUAAAGAGAACACACUUGAUGUGAAAUUGUGUUCUGAAAAGUAAAUCUAUGAAAAACAUCUGUUGCGGUUUUGCAUUUAUUUGUACCCAUUUUUCAAAGUUUACCCAGCAUCUGUGCAAAUUCAGCCAAGUUACCAGAUGAUCAGAUAAACUGAUGUGCUGCUGUGUAGCACUUUGGUUGCAGAUCAGAUGCCAAAUCCCUUUGCUGUGUUAAA